GGAGGAUUACCCAAGAGGCUGAAGGGGUGGGCUUGGAAAGCUCAUAGGGUCUGAAAGGGCCGCAAGAGUUCAAAUCUCUUAUCCUCCGCCA
rnacentral:tRNA from 1 species